rnacentral:lncRNA from 1 species
GGCAAUUGAAUUUCAAACCAUUUCCUCCCACUUGGAUCAUAUUUCACCUUUUUUUUUUCCUCGAUUACUUGACCAAAUUUCGCUUUCUUUCAUUAAAUUAUAUUUGUAGGAAUAAACAUAAAAACAAGUUAUCAAGGGAAAAUGGAAACUGCAACCAAAAAAGGCCAUAUAUUUUACUGGAAGAUUGAAAUUAGUCAAUGUGAUGAACUAGGACUUGUUUGAACCCAAAAAUAUAUUUAAGACCACCUAAAUACAUUCUUUUCAUCCUUUCCAGAUCCAUUAUUCUCUUGGAGCAAAAUAACCACGUUGUAAUCUGGGAACAGCAGAAAAGAUCAGUGAGGAUUAUAAAUAAGACUUUGGUUAGAAAAGUACCUGUGGUAACACCAAUUUUCCAUGAAUUGAGAAGGUAAUUCAACAGCAUCCCACUCUAUCCCCCGAAUACCAGAAACCAGACCCUCAUCCUGCUUGGUAAGCAUAUGCUGAAGUGCAUGACCAAAUUCAUGGAAAACAGUCUCAACCUGCAAAACAUGCAUAUAUAUCUAACAAUAUAAGAUUGUGCAUGCACAAACUGAACAAGAUGAUAUUCUAUGUAUAAACAUAACCACCAUCACCCCCACUCUCCCUUUCUCCUCUCCUACCCACCAAAAACGAAAAUAAAACAAAAUAAUCAUCAUCUACCAUAUCUUUAAUACUCAGCAGAUCAUUUCAAGAACAAUGAAGUGCGCCUUUUUUUUAAUACUUAGAUGACAGCCUUUUUAGUGUCUUUUUAUUAUAUUCUCUAUAUAUAAACUGCAUCUACAUAUUUAAAUAGCUUUUUUCCAUCAGAUUUAUCAUUACAAAUAGUAAUCAAUGAAGACUGUAUCAUCUAACCCAAAUCUUUGAAGUCAAUUAGACAUACAAUCUGACCCGACAGACCACUAAGCCAGCCCCUGAACUGGAUGAAGGGCCAGACAGGCAAAGCUGCCAAUUGCUCCCUGAUGUCAUCUUUGGUAGUAAUCACCUCAAAAAAAUUUAAAUAAAUAAAACCCAAACAAAAAAAAACAAAAAAAAAAAAAGAAAAGCAAAGAAAAAAACAAGAGAGAGAGAGAGAGAGAUUAAAGCAGCUUGAGAUAGAAACAAUGUGUUAGGUUUACCAUUUACCUCACGGAAUGUCAUAAGGCUUGGUUUAUUUCCCACUGGUGGUGUUUGAUUGCACACCAUAUGAGCAAUAGGCAACCUAGCUUUGGUACCAUCACGUGACAAUGCACGACUGCGAGCAACAACCUCAUCCAUCCAUGCACCUCCCCGUUUCUCAGAUGGACGAGAAUAUGGAUCAAAGUAAAAAUAUGCAAUUGGACUACCUGCAGUGUCUUUCACACAGUAGAAUCUCACAUCAUUGUUCCAAACCUAAGGAGCAAAAACCAUAUAUGAUUAGAAGUGGAAACCAUCACUUUAGGAUAGAAGGAUAUCAAAUAAAAGGCAAUUUAAAUAUAUUACUGGAGCAAGACCAUCAGCUGGCUCAAUGUCAAUUCCAAAAAGCAUCUUAGCAAGGCUGAAAAGGACCACCCAUGACCUUUGGCAAUGAGAAAUAGGGGCGUAGUUCCUCCUGUUGGAUUUUAAAACAAAAAAAUAAAUAAGUUUCUCUAUCAGAAAUGAGGGGCUUAUUUACAAUCAGGAAAAAAAACCCACAAAGAAAUAGGAAUUUUAACCCUAAUCACAUAUUAGAGAAANNNNNNNNNNNNNNNNNNNNNNNNNNNNNNNNNNNNNNNNNNNNNNNNNNNNNNNNNNNNNNNNNNNNNNNNNNNNNNNNNNNNNNNNNNNNNNNNNNNNCAAGUGCUGCUUCUUUACUACAUUGAAUUUCAAAUUUUACGGCAAUUGAAUUUCAAACCAUUUCCUCCCACUUGGAUCAUAUUUCACCUUUUUUUUUUCCUCCAUUACUUGACCAAAUUUCACUUUCUUUCAUUAAAUUAUAUUUGUAGGAAUAAACAUAAAAACAAGUUAUCAAGGGAAAAUGGAAACUGCAACCAAAAAAGGCCAUAUAUUUUACUGGAAGAUUGAAAUUAGUCAAUGUGAUGAACUAGGACUUGUUUGAACCCAAAAAUAUAUUUAAGACCACCUAAAUACAUUCUUUUCAUCCUUUCCAGAUCCAUUAUUCUCUUGGAGCAAAAUAACCACGUUGUAAUCUGGGAACAGCAGAAAAGAUCAGUGAGGAUUAAAAAUAAGACUUUGGUUAGAAAAGUACCUGUGGUAACACCAAUUUUCCAUGAAUUGAGAAGGUAAUUCAACAGCAUCCCACUCUAUCCCCCGAAUACCAGAAACCAGACCCUCAUCCUGCUUGGUAAGCAUAUGCUGAAGUGCAUGACCAAAUUCAUGGAAAACAGUCUCAACC